GGAGGUUUUAGAUAUUGUGGGCAGUGACGUGAUCCUUGUAUCCCAGUUAUUCUCUUGUGGUUGUUGCUAGGGUUUUGGGCAAGAGAUUGAGAUUUGUACAUUCAUUAUUCUCAUAGUGGAUUAUCUCUAGUUUGCCCCGUGAUUUUUACCCUUCACAUUGAAGGGGUUUUCCACGUAUAUCUUGGUGUUCUGUUUGAUUGUGUUUCCAUUUUAUUCCGCUG
rnacentral:lncRNA from 1 species